rnacentral:rRNA from 1 species
UACGUAGGCAGCAAGCGUUGUUCGGAGUUACUGGGCGUAAAGGGUGUGUAGGCGGUCCCCUAAGUUUGGUGUGAAAUCUCCCGGCUCAACUGGGAGGGUGCGCCGAAAACUGGAGGGCUAGAGUACUGGAUGGGAGAGUGGAAUUCCUGGUGUAGCGGUGAAAUGCGUAGAUAUCAGGAGGAACACCGGUGGUGUAGACGGCUUCUGGACCGUAACUGACGCUGAGACACGAAAGCGUGGGUAGCAAACAGG